GCAAUGGAGGUUCAGUGGCAGAAUUCUCACCUGCCACAUGGCAGACCUGGGUUUGAGUCCCAGCCAAUUCA
rnacentral:tRNA from 1 species